rnacentral:rRNA from 1 species
UACGGAGGGUGCAAGCGUUAAUCGGAAUUACUGGGCGUAAAGCGCGCGUAGGCGGUUACGUAAGUCGGAUGUGAAAGCCCCGGGCUUAACCUGGGAAUUGCAUUCGAUACUGCGUGACUAGAGUCUGGUAGAGGGUAGCGGAAUUCCAGGUGUAGCGGUGAAAUGCGUAGAUAUCUGGAGGAACAUCAGUGGCGAAGGUGGCUACCUGGACCAAGACUGACGCUGAGGUGCGAAAGCGUGGGGAGCAAACAGG